rnacentral:rRNA from 1 species
UACGAAGGGAGCUAGCGUUGUUCGGAAUCACUGGGCGUAAAGCGCACGUAGGCGGAUAUGUCAGUCAGGGGUGAAAUCCCGGAGCUCAACUUCGGAACUGCCUUUGAUACAGCAUAUCUCGAGUCCGAGAGAGGUGAGUGGAAUUCCGAGUGUAGAGGUGAAAUUCGUAGAUAUUCGGAGGAACACCAGUGGCGAAGGCGGCUCACUGGCUCGAUACUGACGCUGAGGUGCGAAAGCGUGGGGAGCAAACAGG